CUCAGGAAUGCUGGCAUGACACAAGAAGAAAUGCCGGAACACUAAUUCUCCGGUGCAAAGCUUCUCAUUCUGACACUUCUACUAACACGCGGCUGGGCACUGGGUCCUGGAGACGCAAAUGUCAGAGGAAGAUAUGUGAACCGUAGGUCCUGGCCGAGGAGGUGACAUUCAGGAUGCCCUUUCCAUCACAUGUCAAAGCAGCCAAACAGCUUCAGUUACAGAACAGCACUGACAGAGGCUCUGCUUGAUGACACUUGCCCGUCACCCUGGAAGCAGGCUGGAUGUCCUUGUGGGAGCUGCUUUGCUGGUGAGGCUGCGCUUUGAGCCCAGUAAGUGACUUCAAUUGAAGAUGAGAAAUGUCUACCUCCUCUCCACCAUUCUCUGGUACUCCACUCUCAUCAGGAAGCCCCUGCACCUGGCCUGUGUGCGGGUGAUGAGCUGUGCCAGCUUCUCAUCCCUCAUCUCCUCCAGGAGUCCCAGCAGCCCAGCUUUGAAGAACACCUUGAGAAAGGGAAGGUUGCAGCACAUCACUGUCAGUCUUGACAGUGACCUUCCCUGAUUCUCUGCUUUGGAUCGUCCCCUUCACAAAGGAUUCCUUUGCGUGUACCACAAAGACGGAUGUCUUGGCAUCAAAAGGCCUGUUCUGGGCCUCGAUUCUCUCCUUUUCCGACUUCCUGAGGGCCUGGAGUCCAUCAGGACUAGAAGUAAACUACAGCACAGUCAGAAGAGGCAGAAUGAGAGAAAUCUAUGGAUACAGGUGGUCCAGCACAGACUUACGGUGUGGGUGAAGUGCUCCAGUAAUGACAUCCAGAAAUGCUGAAAACAGAUCUCAUUCUGCUUUCUCAGCGGAAGAGAGCUGGGCAGUAGAUUCCGGCCAAGGAGAUGACAUUCAGGAUGCCCUUUCUAUCACCCACCAAAGCAGCUGAGAGGUUCGUGUUACAGAGCAGAUUCUGCGCUCUUCAGCAAGGGCUUGAUCUUGAAGAACAGCUUCAUCCAGGGCCAGUGCUUCACGUUCAUGAAUGCACGAAUGUUGUAUUGGAUGCAGAAAAUGGACUCUCUGAAAGGAAGCCCCUGCACCUGGCCUGCGUGCGGGUGAUGAGCUGUGCCAGCUUCUCAUCCCUCAUCUCUUCCAAGAGGCCUAUCAACCCAGCUUUGAAGAACACCUUAGCACGCCGUUGCACCGCAGCUGAUGAAGCACCAGCUCAUGCUCCAUGGCACCUAACAAUCCAGAGCAGAGAGAAAUGCUACGUUCUGUAAUAACGAGGGGAAGAGCGGCACCAUAAUGACAACCUUCUACAUAGAUAUAACUGGUAUUUUAUGAGGCAGUCAGAAACAGACUGCAGUAGGCACUCAUGAUGGGCCAUAUGGAGCACACUACUGAUUCCUGUUUCCCGCGCUUAAAGCAACAGGAAGAGAAGUGACAAGCUGAGUUUUAUAUCUCUGCAGUAUAUAUCUGACCUGCAAGGGCUGCACUUCACUGGGAUCAGAAGCAAACCACAGCACAGUUAAAAGAGAAGAGGCAGACUGAAGGCCGUCACUGGAUACAGACUCUAUCCCCCAAAGAGGAGAAAGGAUUCAGUUAUGCUGAAAAUAGAUAAGCCCCUCUUGAGACAGGGAUCAGGAAGCUGCCUCCCUUUCUGCCAGCCCUUAAGAUGUGUGUUUUCUUCUCAUGAUCCCUGGGGUUAGCCGAGAGACGAGGACGGAGGAGGCAUUUUUUUAGCUCAGCAGAACAGCCAGACUGGAGAGGGAACUGGAAAUGUCUACAGGCUGCUUGUGUUGGCGAGUGGGAACCUCCCUCUCACGUGUGUUCAGGGUUGUCAAGCUCAUGAACUGGAAACACGAGAAUAUACCUGUACGGCAGGAGGUUUUGCAGCAGGAAAAGGAAUGUUGGUCUGUAGUCUAGUGGUCCCCGAUCUUUGCCCCUAGCAACUAUGCUCAGGCCCCUCUGCUCCUCUACCUAGACUAGACUGCCCUCCAAGAAGAAAGGGUUUGGAGUUAUAUGGAUAUGAAUGCUCUCACCACAAAGAGGACAAACCAAGUACCAUGUGAUGCUAGAAGUGUGGUUGGCUGAUUGUAGGACACCAUCAUCCCUUUUGCAUGACAAUGGUGAGUCCUCAUCUGAAACGGUUGGCCCAGUUUAAGGCUCCCCAGAUCAAAAGGGAUGUGAACUCAUGAGAGAGGAUCCAGCAAAAGGCUAGCAAGAUCGGCAAGGGUCUAGAAAACUUGUGCUAUGAAGAGAGCAUGAGGGCAUGGUUAGUCUGAGGACAAAAAGGCUAAUGUACAUGAGCGGCAGUUACAAAGAUAAUGCACCAAGAUUUUUUCAUGAUUAGCAGACAAUGUAACAGGGGGCAAUGACCACAAGUUGCUGCUUGAAAGUCUCCAGUUAGGACAUCAGGAAAAUUCUUCACUAUUGGGUAAUGCAGAAAUGGCAUAGGUUGCCCAGAGAGAUCGUGGAGCCUCCAUCCACAAAGCUUGGUUAGUCAAAGCCAUGACUGACCUGACCAACAUGGGCAAUAAAUGUGUUUGAAGUGGCAGACAGAACUGAAGACCUCCAGCUGUUCCUUCACAACAGCAUUUCUGUAGGUUUGAUGUAGAAGUUCUCUCUAUAUAAAGUAGACAAUUUUUCAAAGCUAAGGACGGAAGGUAUCUGCAGCUUCAUGGUUUGUGCUAAGAAACAGAAAUUUUCCUGGAGUCCUGAAAAACAGCUUGUCUCAAGGGGACCAUUGGACGUGAAUCUUUGACCUCACUGCGUUGUUGGAAAGUUAAUUCCAUGCAACUUGUCAAAGCAUAUCCCUCCAGAAGACCAGUUCCAGAAUACCACUUCUCAAGAAUAUCAUUUGGAAACAUCCUCAGCAGCAGUAGGCUUCAGUAGUUUCCAGUCCUUGAAGAUCAGUGGGUCACAGAGGCAGAGUCAGGGAACUGGGGGGGUCACUAGGGCAGCAAAGUACAUCACAUCACAUGGGAAAGAAGUUCCACCAGGUGAGGAGCAGGAAGACUACAGGAGGGUCCUUUUGUUAUCACAGGCUGGACACAUUCAUGGUGGUCACUGUGUGCUGGUAAGUAUUUCCCCAUUUUCCAAGCAAUUCCUGUUGCAGGAAUUUAGAGAUCUGGUACAAACCUUUUCCAUUCUUAGUCACCAUUUGUCAGAAAAUAUAUAUACAGGCCAGUGAGCAGGAGCUAACAGCACCACUGUGUGUCAUUUCUGACCAUAACAUAACACUGAAGGAAAUAAGGUUACACGAUGCCUCUGCCCAUGGCGGAAGAGCACAAGAUGAUCUUUAAAGGUCCCUUCUAACCCAAACCAUUCUGUGGUUCCGUGAAUGGACGCAUUGAGUGAGGUCAAAGAAAAAUGUAGACUCACACCUGAGACAUUUUUCAUCAUUGCCUCCCCAGAUGCCCACCCUCCACGACGUCCCACCCGUGUGGUGAAGGCUUCUACAGCAAAAAUGCCUCAAAUGGGUGAAAAACAUCACAUAACCAGAACAAAACCAAAUAAAGCACUCGUGGGUAAUGGUACUGAAAGCAGUGAUGCAUUUUCUGUGUCACUGCCAGUAACAGGAGACAGAAGCCCAAGCACGUUCCUGCUGUCUCUAUAUGGAGCCUAAGAAGCCAUCAGCCUUCUCGGGUCUCAGUGACCUACUUGUCCCCACACGGAGCCUGUAAUGCUCACGGGAUAUUGCAGAUGUCCCUUUUAAGAGGGAUCCCUGGGAGGCUGGAGAGAGCUCAGAGCUGCUCAGCUCCUGCUCAGGCAGGAAACCUCCUCCUGUGGGUCAAUGGGCUGGAGAACAGGUACUUACACAGAUAGUGUCUCCCGGGACAGGUCACCACAGCUCCUCCUCAGGUGACUGGUGUCCCUGAUGCCCUGACCAGGGACUGGGAGGUGCUCAGGGCCUCAGGAAGGACCAGGAAUAUCUGUAUGGAUGGGCUGCUCCUCUGAGCACACAUCAGAGCUGAGAUGAAAUGAAACCAACCCUGCAUGUGGUAGGUAAUUACCAGUGAUUACUCUGCCCUGCUUCAACCUAAUUAGCUUGCUGGAUGAUUGGUCUCCACACUUCCAUAAAACUCUGUAAAUACUCCAUAACACAGAUAUUAUAUACAUCUUUUCAGUAUUUAUUUACACAUCAAUAUUUGAUGCCUUACCAACUGUCUCUAAAUAAAACAUCACACAGGUGACAAACUUGGUGCCAAGCAGCUUCUGAAGUUAGGUUCAUCUCAUGACAACCAAAUAGACCUGGUGUUGAGGAGAGAUUUUUGUCCCUCUGCUGCAUCUGUUACUUCUUUUCAGAGGAAUUAGCAUAUAUUCUCUCAAAAUCUCCAGAGGAAGAACAUCUUGCCUAGUAGGAAAGAAACUCAGUGUACAGCAAACCCCUUCAGAACAAACACCAUUUUGCUUUCUUUUAUUUUAUUGGCCAAAACUCCCUGAGAUGGGUGCUGUAGCACUGGGAUGCUUCCUAAUUAAAGACAGGCUGAUGAUGUUCCGGGUUGCCUUCUCCCUUGCAUUGCCACCUGUGACCUGAUAAACAGCACUGGAGGAAAAAGGGUUUAUAGCAAUUUUGAUGCCAGGUUGGGACCAACCUGUUCCAGCAGAGGGGUGUGGAAGUGGCUGAGCGUGAACAGGUAAGUAGAGGAAGAUCGCUGACUUCCCAGGCUUGCAGCUGGUGGGACAGGUGGGGAAAGGGGUGGCUGUGGUUUCUGGGAGCAGCUAUUUAGCAGUAUCCAGUACUCCAGGGUUAAUCUGGCCUUGGAGAGCUCUGCCGUAGGCAAAGCCAUUUCUCUGUGGUCGUUAUGUGAUCUCCUGCUUCUGAACAAGGCCAGAUGCUGAGUCCUGCACUUGGGGCACAACCCUGUGCAGCU